AGUGAACGCUGGCGGUAGGCCUAACACAUGCAAGUCGAACGGCAGCACAGUAAGAGCUUGCUCUUACGGGUGGCGAGUGGCGGACGGGUGAGGAAUACAUCGGAAUCUACUUUUUCGUGGGGGAUAACGUAGGGAAACUUACGCUAAUACCGCAUACGACCUACGGGUGAAAGCAGGGGAUCUUCGGACCUUGCGCGAUUGAAUGAGCCGAUGUCGGAUUAGCUAGUUGGCGGGGUAAAGGCCCACCAAGGCGACGAUCCGUAGCUGGUCUGAGAGGAUGAUAGGCACACUGGAAACGAGAAACGGUCCAGACCCCCACGGGAGGCAGCAGUGGGGAAUAUUGGACAAUUGGCGCAAGCCUGAUCCAGCCAUACCGCGUGGGUGAAGAAGGCCUUCGGGUUGUAAAACCCUUUUGGUGGGAAAGAAAAGCAGCAGGUUAAAACCCCGCUGUUCUGACGGUACCCAAAGAAUAAGCAACGGCUAACUUCGUG
rnacentral:rRNA from 1 species